rnacentral:rRNA from 1 species
GACAGAGGGUGCAAACGUUGUUCGGAAUCACUGGGCGUAAAGCGCGUGUAGGCGGCCGCGUAAGUCGGGCGUGAAAUCCCACAGCUCAACUGUGGAAGUGCACUCGAAACUGUGCGGCUAGAGUCCUGGAGAGGAAGGUGGAAUACUUGGUGUAGAGGUGAAAUUCGUAGAUAUCAAGUGGAACACCGGUGGCGAAGGCGGCCUUCUGGACAGUGACUGACGCUGAGGAGCGAAAGCGUGGGGAGCGAACAGG